ACGAACGCUGGCGGCGUGCCUAACACAUGCAAGUCGAACGAGGUCCAUGCAGUGGCAACACUGCGGAAGACCUAGUGGCGAACGGGUGAGUAACACGUGAGGAACUUGCCCCGGAGACCGGGAUAAGCUGGGGAAACCUGGUCUAAUACCGGAUGCUCUCAUUGAGUCGCAUGGCUCGAUGAGAAAAUGGAUUCCGCUCCGGGAGAGCCUCGCGGCCUAUCAGCUAGUUGGUGGGGUAACGGCCCACCAAGGCAUCGACGGGUAGCUGGUCUGAGAGGACGAUCAGCCACACUGGGACUGAGACACGGCCCAGACUCCUACGGGAGGCAGCAGUGGGGAAUCUUGCGCAAUGGGCGAAAGCCUGACGCAGCAACGCCGCGUGCGGGAUGAAGGCCCUCGGGUUGUAAACCGCUUUCAGUGGGGACGAACCAAGACGGUACCCACAGAAGAAGCCCCGGCCAACUACGU
rnacentral:rRNA from 1 species